rnacentral:sRNA from 1 species
ACCUAAUGAUUCUGGUUACUAGAAAUGUAAUCUCACUAAUUCAUUUAAAUCAUUAAUAUUAUUCUGCUGUCAACCUGCUGUGUAACUUAUUACAUAGUUAGCCUGCUAUGUAACCUGUUAUGCCUUUUCUGCCUUUAAUUUUAAAAAUUAAAAUUCUAAUAAUUAGGAAGUAUGCUUUAGUUCUGUUUAGAGCCUCUACCAUAUUAUUAUUUAAAUAACAUACACAGUAACUUUUAAAAGGUUCUUUUGAAUAUCUGCAAAAGUGAUCUUGUGAGUUAACUAAUUAGUCCUUGAACUUUGUUUGGUUUGUGGUUUUGCUUAUUUUUUAAAAAUUCUCUGCAGCUUUUCGAUGUGCCUACUGUUUUUUCUUGAACCCUGCAAGAAAAACCAGACCUCAGGCUCCAAGACUUCCUGAGUUUAGUUUUGAGAAGAGGCAGGUGGUGGAAGGUUCAAGUUCAGUUGGUCCCUUGCCAUCAGGAAGUGUGCUUACAUCAGACAACCAGUUUAAUGAAGAAUCUUUCGAACACGAUGUUCUUGAUGAUAAUACAGAGCAGACAGAUGACAAAAUACCAGCUACAGAACAGACAAACCAAGUGAUUGAAAAAGCAUCUGACUCAGAGGAACCAGAGGAGAAACAAGAGACUGAGAAUGAGGAAGCCUCAGUGAUUGAAACCAACUCCACAGUUCCUGGAGCUGAUUCUAUUCCUGAUCCUGAACUAAGUGGAGAAUCUUUGACGGCAGAGUAGUAAAUGCUUCCACGUGCCUUCAACUGGA